rnacentral:lncRNA from 1 species
AAAAAUGAGAGUGUUGUCGUCGGGGUGGUGAAGGGUGGGGUUUUUGUGGCCGUGGUAAGGUUUAAGUAAAGCAAUGUGAAGCAACCACUCCUAUGCAUUUGAUGAUGCGAUAUGGACCAUAAUAUUUUCGAAUGAGUUUGUGGUGAGGCUUGGAAGAGAGGGAAAAUUGUUGGUAUGCUUUUCGUCGUAGUGGCACCCAAUUGUUAAUGUUGAAGACGUAGUCGUGAUUUGUUUGCAAUUUGGGCCAUGCGAUGUUGAGUGUGAGCGAGGGUGGUCUUCAAAUGGUGCAUUAUCUAUGUGCACUCUUGUAAGGUAGUGGCGAGAGCUGGUUCUGUUGUCGUGCUCGAAAUGUAGUCUGAUAUGGAAGGUGGAGGUCGCCCAUAAAGCGCUUGGAAAGGUGUAGUAUUGAUUGCGGUAUGGUAGGACGAGUUAUACCAAAACUCAACAAGGUGUAAGUACUUGUACCAUGUCCUCGGAUGGUCACUUGCGAAGGUAAAUUUCUAAUCCUCUAUUUAUGACUUCCGUUUGACCAUCUGUUUGAGGAUGAUAGGCGGUGCUAAAUUUGAGUUUGGUGCCUUGUAGGUGAAAAUGUUGCUUCCAAAAAAUUACUGAGUAAGAGUGAGUCUCUAUCGAAGAUGAUGGAUUUGGGAAUGUCGUGCAACCUACAAAUCUCAACAGAAAACGGUUAGCCAAUUGGGAUACGGUGAAGGAGGUGGGUAAUGCUAUGAGGUGGACAGAUUUGGACAAAAGAUCACAUAUGACCCAUAUCACCGUGUGGCUAAAUGUGUUAUGAAAUCUGUGGUGAGCUCAUCCCAAAUUUGGGUUGGUGAGGGAUUGGGUUGUAAAAGACCUAAGGGUUUGUUGUUGACUUGUUUAUUUUUUUUGGCAAGGGAGACAUUGUUUGAUGAACGAUUUGACAUCUCUAUACAUCCCUGGCCAAUAUAAGGACGCGGCUAGGCGAGCCACAAUGGCUUUAAGGCCCGAGUGUCCAACAGAGGGGGUGGCAUGGAACUAGUGAAGUAUGGUGGUGUGCAGAGAUUAUAUGGAUGUUAGAUAUAGUCUUCGGUCGAGAUACAAAAGAUCGUUUUGAAAGGUAUAUUCUUUGUUUUGAGAAGCUGUAACUUUGUGUACUUCUUGUUUCCCCAAUUUUGACUGGUAAUAUUUUUUUAAUUGCAAGAGGAUUUCUAGGAUUGGGGAGGAGAUGGCCAAAAAAAUAGAAGUGGGUGACCGAGAGAGGAAAUAAACUGCUUGAUUGUGGCGGUCUGGGCGGUACAAAAUAUAAAAAAUGUAACCAAUGAGUUUGGUGGCCAUUUUUGUUGCUCUAGAGUAGAACAUGCCUUGGUAAGUAACCCCUUAAGACUUCUGUGAGAAUUUGGAAAUGAUUGUCAAUUAGGUAGUGUCUCCAUUUUUUUAUUGCCUUAGUGAUUGCGAGCAUUUCUUUGACAUGCACUAAAUUAUAAUGUAUUUUGGAACAUAGCUUCUUGCUGAAGAAAGCAAUGGGAUGACCAGCUUGGGAGAGAACUGUGCCAAUGACAGAAUUGGAGGCAUCUUUUUCAACCACAAACGAAAGAGAAAAAUCUAGAAGAUGUAGAACAAAGAGUGUAGUUAGGAAUUUCUUAAAUUGUAAAAAGGUCUUUUGUGCCUCUUCAUUCCAUGUAAAAACUUUGAAUUUUAGUAAAUCCGUGAAUGGAGGGGCAAGAAUGGCAUAACCGUGUAUAAAUUUGUGAUAAAACUCGGUAAUUCCCAAAAAAACGCGGAGAGUGGUGAGAGAGGUAGGUUUGGGCCAAAGAAGUAUGGCCUGAAUCUUGUCUGGGUCAGGAGCAACAGUCCCUGCUUGAAUGAUAUGGCCCAAAUAGAAAACCCUAGACGUUGCAAACAUGCACUUAGAUUCUUUGACAAAAAAUUGUUGUCUUGAAGUAAUUAGAGAGUAAUGGUAAGGUGUUGGAUAUGCUCUGACAUGGAUUUACUGUAGAUAAGGAUGUCAUAAAUAAACUAGCACAAAUUGUCUUAGAUGCGGUCUUAGGAGGUCGUUCAUGGCCGCUUGAAA